rnacentral:rRNA from 1 species
AUUGAACGCUAGCGGCAGGCCUAACACAUGCAAGUCGAACGAGUGGCGGACGGGUGAGUAAUGUCUGGGAACCUGACUGAUGGAGGGGGAUAACUACGGGAAACGGUAGCUAAUACCGCAUACCAUCGGAUGUGCCCAGAUGGGAUUAGCUAGGAGGUGGGGUAAAGGCUCACCGAGGCGACGAUCCGUAGCGGGGCUGAGAGGAUGACCAGCCACACUGGAACUUAGACACGGUCCAGACUCCUACGGGAGGCAGCAGUGGGGAAUAUUGGACAAUGGGCGCAAGCCUGAUGCAGCCAUGCCGCGUGUAUGAAGAAGGCCUUCGGGUUGUAAAGUACUUUCAGCGGGGAGGCGUUACCCGCAGAAGAAGCACCGGCUAACUCCGUGCCAGCAGCCGCGGUAAUUC